rnacentral:tRNA from 1 species
GUUGAAAUGGCUGAAGAAAGCAAUAAAUUGUAAAUUUAUAUAUGAAAUAAUUUUCUUUCAACA